CAUGUAAAGAUUGUAUCUUAGUAUAUUGAAUAAUGAGAAUGAUACACGAGAGUUUAUAUACAAGAGAUACAGUUAUUAGUUUCCUAAAACAAAGGAAGAGAUAAUAUAUACAAAUGAUUCUCAUAUCUCUAACAUCCACUACAUGGCCAUAAAUAAUUUGCAUGAGGUAGAGCUCAAUAAUGUUAAUUGUGUUCGAUGGAGAGUAUGCUGCAGCACUCGACCUGCCAGAGCUUUGGGACAGACUGUAAGGAACUGAUUUCUAUGGUUAAGGAUCCUCAGGCGUGGCCAAGCUUUGCGACGGAAUUGGAGAGAAUAGAGACGUUACAGAUAUGUUUCCCGGACUUCAACAUCACUUACGUUCCACGGGCGCAAAAUCAGACAGCAGAUUUUCUAGCCAAGACUGCUAGAUCUUUUCGUAGAGAGUUACAUUUUGUUGGUUGUUCUAUUCCGGUUUGGUUACCCAGACCACCUCAAGUUUGAGUAAUAGAAUAGCCUUUUGACGUCAAAAAAAAAAAAAAAAAAAAAAAAAAAAAUGUUAAUUGUGGUUGACAUGAAUGAGAAGACUUGUGGUUGCAGGAAGUGGUGGAUGGUAGAAAUCCCUUCCGUUCCUGCUGCAAGUAUUAUAAUAUGUAAAAAAUGUUGAAACAUAUGUCAAUGAAUAUUGUACAACAAAAAAAGUGACAAGAAAUAUAUAAAGAUGGUAUAAAUCCUUUACAAGUGAUGAAGUUUUGGCCUAGAGUAAAUAUGCUAGUUGUCUUGCUACCACCAUGAAGAAAACGCAAUCUGAGACGACCAAGUAAUUAUGCCAGAAAAGAAAAAAAGAAAAAAUAAAUAUGGAUCAAGUAACAUCCAGUUGACACUCCAGAUGAAAGCGAUGACAUGCUUAAACUGCAACGAAGAUGCACACAAUAAGUAAGGUUGUAAAAAUCUAAGCGGAGAGACAUUCAAAGAAACCAAGAGGAUGACCAAAAAAUAGGUUUUGUAUGUCGUUGAAAUUUUCAAUUUAUUUGCUACAUUUCAAUUUUGUUUGGGUCAUACAUUUUUAUUUAUUUUUAUUUAGGGAAGAGCUCCACGACCAC
rnacentral:lncRNA from 1 species